AUUGAACGCUGGCGGCAGGCCUAACACAUGCAAGUCGAACGGUAACAGGAAGAAGCUUGCUUCUUUGCUGACGAGUGGCGGACGGGUGAGUAAUGUCUGGGAAACUGCCUGAUGGAGGGGGAUAACUACUGGAAACGGUAGCUAAUACCGCAUAAUGUCGCAAGACCAAAGAGGGGGACCUUCGGGCCUCUUGCCAUCGGAUGUGCCCAGAUGGGAUUAGCUAGUAGGUGGGGUAACGGCUCACCUAGGCGACGAUCCCUAGCUGGUCUGAGAGGAUGACCAGCCACACUGGAACUGAGACACGGUCCAGACUCCUACGGGAGGCAGCAGUGGGGAAUAUUGCACAAUGGGCGCAAGCCUGAUGCAGCUAUGCCGCGUGUAUGAAGAAGGCCUUCGGGUUGUAACGUACUUUCAGCGGGGAGGAAGGGAGUAAAGUUAAUACCUUGGCUCAUUGACGUUACCCGCAGAAGAAGCACCGGCUAACUCCGUG
rnacentral:rRNA from 1 species